UACGGGGGGGGCAAGCGUUGUUCGGAAUUACUGGGCGUAAAGGGCUUGUAGGUGGCCAACUAAGUCAGACGUGAAAUCCCUCGGCUUAACCGGGGAACUGCGUCUGAUACUGGAUGGCUAGAGUUUGGGAGAGGGAUGCGGAAUUCCAGGUGUAGCGGUGAAAUGCGUAGAUAUCUGGAGGAACACCGGUGGCGAAGGCGGCGCUCUGGACCGAGACUGACGCUGAGGCGCGAAAGCGUGGGGAGCAAACAGG
rnacentral:rRNA from 1 species